rnacentral:tRNA from 1 species
GGGACAUUAGCUCAGUUGGUUAGAGCAGGGUGCUCAUAACGCCUUGGUCCAAGGUUCGAGUCCUUGAUGUCCCACCA